CUUUCUGUUUGCCCCAGUCUGGCCGGUGUGCGCAUAGCCUUGCCUUCCGCUUCCAUACGCGUUCUCAAUAGUACAAGCUCGAGUCGGAACCCAAGAUUGGGGAGGCCCGAACUGUCCUAGUUGAACGAACGGGGGCUCCCCAUCUAGCAGAAGCAGCAUCAGCAUCCAGGCACAAGAGCAAUCGAUUUUAGUCAGGUGUAGUCAGUGAGUAAGUUCGGAAGUGGAUCCCUUUUUGUCGCGAGCUACCAUAGAGAAAAAUCUAGGGAUGAUGUGAGAAAAUCUUCUAGUGGUGGAAAGUUGUUGAAAGAAAGAAAAUUCAAGCAAUCCGCGACUAGCCGCAAAUGCGAAGCGUAUAAAAAGGAAGUGGUGGUUGUUCGCAAGGACUGUGCAGUGAUCUUUGGCGGAAAGCAAUCGUAAUGUUCGUAAUCAAAUAGCGAAAGGACCGUGAAAAUGUCGAGCAAGUAGCACCAAAGUCGAGAGAAUUCAUCUGCACUCAGUGGUCAUCCUAUGUGAAUGUGUUGCUCAGAACGGAAGACGACAACCCGUUGUCGACCCGCGGCGAUCCGAACCUUCCUUCAAGGGCUAGCUUGCAGUAAAGGCAAAAAUUUAUACAGGCUCAUACAAACGACCAACGGGAUCAUGGGCACUGGGCAAUGCUUUUGGGCGGUGUUUUGCUUUGCUUGCAUCUGUAGCGCUUCAUUAGCAAAUAAUGCAAAAAUAAAUUUUCGUGAAAAAGAGAAAAAAGUUUUAGAUCAAAUUCUAGGAACAAAUAAAUAUGAUGCUCGGAUACGACCGUCUGGCGUGAAUGGUACAGGAAUACAAAAGCAGGCAUAUGGUCCCGCUGUAGUCAAAAUCAAUCUUUUCGUUCGAAAUAUUAUGACGAUAAGUGACAUUAAGAUGGAAUACAGUGUCCAGUUGACAUUCCGAGAACAGUGGACGGAUGAAAGGCUGAAAUUUGACGAUAUUGGAGGUCGUCUGAAGUAUCUUACUUUAACAGAAGCAAGUCGAGUAUGGAUGCCAGAUUUGUUCUUCUCAAACGAAAAGGAAGGUCACUUUCACAAUAUAAUCAUGCCAAAUGUAUAUAUACGGAUAUUCCCCAAGGGCUCCGUACUUUAUAGUAUAAGAAUUUCGCUUACGCUAGCUUGUCCUAUGAAUCUGAAGUUAUAUCCCUUGGACAGACAAGUUUGUUCACUUCGAAUGGCCAGUUAUGGAUGGACAACAGAUGAUCUAGUGUUUCAGUGGAAGGAGGGAGAUCCUGUUCAAGUAGUUAAGAAUUUACAUCUACCUCGCUUUACCCUAGAAAAAUUCUUAACGGAUUAUUGCAAUAGCAAAACUAAUACAGGUGAAUACAGUUGUCUUAAAGUCGACCUACUCUUCAAGCGCGAGUUUUCAUACUACUUAAUCCAAAUCUACAUCCCAUGUUGUAUGCUUGUCAUCGUAUCAUGGGUGUCCUUUUGGUUAGACCAAGGAGCAGUUCCUGCACGUGUAUCACUAGGAGUAACAACACUUCUUACAAUGGCUACACAAACCUCGGGAAUCAACGCUUCGCUCCCACCAGUGUCCUAUACUAAGGCCAUUGACGUUUGGACCGGGGUGUGUCUAACGUUUGUGUUUGGAGCUCUGCUGGAGUUUGCCCUCGUCAAUUAUGCAUCACGUUCAGAUCGGGCCGCAGACAUGCAUCGGGAGAAUAUGAAGAAGAAACGUCGAGAGUUGGAGCAAGCUAGCUUGGAUGCUGCAUCUGACUUAUUGGACACCGACAGCAAUGCCACAAUUCCGAUGGUAAAUUCCCACAUGAAGCCGUUAGUUCGUCAUCCAGGAGAUCCAUUGGCACUGGAGAAGUUACGACAGUGUGAGGUCCACCUACGACCAACAAAACGUCCGCACUGUUGUAAGACGUGGUUAGCGAAGUUCCCUACGAGUCAAUGUUCUAGAUCGAAGAGAAUCGACGUUAUUUCUCGAAUAACGUUCCCGCUAGUAUUCGCCCUAUUUAACUUGGUUUACUGGAGUACAUAUCUCUUCAGGGAAGAGGAAGAUGAAUAGACAAUUUUUGUUUGUCACGAAAGAAGUACUACAUCGGAAGGAAAAAUCAAAUAUAAAAUGAAAGAAAAUCAACCAAAAAUCAACACUAUCUAGAUAUGAGUCCAGAGGAAAGAAGAACAUCUCGAGAAAGCAAAACAAAAACGCUAUUCACGUAUCUUCAAUGAUUAAGAUGAGAAAUGUCUCUGAUUGCCUGAAUUCGGUUCAACUGAAAUACUCGAGGAAGCUCCAAAAACCUAUGACAUCUACGUAAAUGAAUAAAUAAUAGGCGAAUAAAGAAAUGCAUAUAUUACUCGGUGUAUAUUUGUAAUAAUUAUUUUUAUAGGCAGUUUUUACGUAUAAUACAACAGAACAUUUAUUUGAUACGAUCGUUAACAUGGUAACUAGUAACGAUAGUUUUAUAAUGGAAGCCAUGUGGGAUACAGGAUUGCGAUCGUACUUUACACCUGCUACGAAGAUAAAAUUUUAAAAUUUCACAUCAACUCAACUGAAUUACAUACAUACAUACUAUAUAACAAAUCACGAGACAUUCAUAUUCGGUAGGCUAAAAACAAAUCACAGCAGAGAAAACCUGUAUUCAACUAAUUGGUUUCAGAAUAUGUCAAAACCCUAAUUCCGCCUGUAGUUGAGAAUAACAAAAAUAGAGAUAAGACAACUUUGUAGGCAAAUUAGGAGAACUAGUAACUCAGUGUUGAAAGAAAAUAUCUAGUCGGGCGAAUAUAAUAUCGGACAUAAAGCACUUAAAGUAUUAACAAAUUCGCAACAAUAUUGGUUCCGUAUAUUUUUUCCGUAAGAAAACUAUUGGAAACCAAUGCAUAAAUAAAAUUAUCUCACUCGAUACAGUAACCAGUGUUUUUCUACAGAUUUUUCAACACAAAAGAUGUACAUAUACGAAUCUAUCUUUGCGGUCUCUACAUACUAAAUUUCGAAAAUAUCGGUACGAAUCUUUUCAAUUGUUCCUUUAGUAUCUUUUCUGUUUAUUAUUUCGAAACGUAAUCUUCUUGAGCCGCGUAUCAACCACUUCAAUAAUCUCCUUAUGUUGGCAGAUCAAAUAAGAUACUUUCUCUGAUCGCAGAUUGAUAAUUCAAUUUAGAUUUUCUGCUCAUCUUACGUAUCUUUUCUAUUUUCGCGAUAAAACUUGCCCGUUAUACUCUUUAGACAAGUAUCUUAUCUGUGAUUCAUUCUGUUAUUCAGUCGAUUUGUGGAAAAUAACUUCCCUAAUUACGAAAAAAACGAAUUUAUCUUUGUAAAUUUCAAAGAAUAUUCAUUUUAACAAGAGGAUUUUGUACAUAUAAAAGAAUGAGUCAAAUCAUACAUAAAGAUAUAGUUAAGAGGAUUAGGUUGUGUUUUAAAUAAAUCAUCAAUAAUAGUGAGGUAAAGCUUACAUUAAAUUAGGAAUACAUCUUAGAUUAAAACUAUCUCGAUAGUAACAAAGAAUGAUGAAACUUGGAAAGACGAAAUGACACGCCAUUAACGAUGCGCUGUACAUAGGUAGACCUUAAUAUCAGUUGGGCAAAUAUUUUAAAGAAAUCCCCAUCUAGUCAUAGAUGUGAGGAAAACCUGUAACAUUUUCAUACCUCGAACGCCGGCUCGAUUUUAAGAUCAAUUUCGAAUCAACAUCCAAAAGUACUAUAACUCCAUCUGAAGAACGAAAACCGCGGAAACCUUUGCUCAUCGUCGCAUAUAUGUCGAAAUUGAUCAGAAAAUCCUUGCCCAGGCUAAUAGAAGUGUCGAACAGGAAACAAUGGUAGACGUCGUAAAAAUAAGUUUGUUGAAGCCUAAUAAAGUAUGAAGAGAAGUUUAUAAUGUUUCUAUUAGUAAUAAAAGUAUUGAGGAAGUUAUUGUAAAAUACACAUACAACACAAUAGAAGAUACACACAAGUAAGAAAAUUUUAAGAAAAAAAAUUAUAAUCACACAUAAAUAUGAAUGACCCUAUGAAUAAUAUGUUUGUAUUUAUAUUUUAUGAGAAAAUAUAUUAUUAAAAACUCA